rnacentral:rRNA from 1 species
AGAUAUCGGGGAGGUAACCACCAGUGGCGNAAGGCGGCUUUUCUGGUCUAUUCUCUGACAUUUGAUGAAACGAAAGCUAGGGGAGCAAACGGGAUUAGAUACCCCGGUAGUCCUAGCCGUAAACGAUGGAUACUAGGUGUGGGAGGUAUCGACCCCUUCUGUGCCGUAGCUAACGCAUUAAGUAUCCCGCCUGGGGAGUACGGUCGCAAGACUGAAACUCAAAGGAAUUGACGGGGGCCCGCACAAGCGGUGGAGCAUGUGGUUUAAUUUGACGCAACGCGAAGAACCUUACCGGGACUUGACAUUAUUUUGACGGUCUAAGAAAUUAGAUUUUUUUCCUUUACCGGAAGACAGAAUAACAGGUGGUGCAUGGUUGUCGUCAGCUCGUGUCGUGAGAUGUUGGGUUAAGUCCCAUAACGAGCGCAACCCUUAUGCUUAGUUGCUAACUUGUUUUACAAGUGCACUCUAGGCAGACUGCCGCAGAUAAUGCGGAGGAAGGUGGGGAUGACGUCAAAUCAUCAUGCCCCUUACGUCCCGGGCUACACACGUGCUACAAUGGCCUGUACAGAGGGUAGCGAAAGAGCGAUCUCGAGCCAAUCCCUUAAAGCAGGUCUCAGUUCGGAUUGGAGGCUGCAACUCGCCUCCAUGAAGUCGGAAUCGCUAGUAAUCGCGGAUCAGCACGCCGCGGUGAAUACGUUCCCGGGCCUUGUACACACCGCCCGUC